UCCACUGAACUUGUUCAUGCAACAGUUA
rnacentral:piRNA from 1 species